rnacentral:rRNA from 1 species
GACGUAGGGGGCGAGCGUUGUCCGGAUUUAUUGGGCGUAAAGGGUGCGUAGGCGGCAUGAUAAGUUAUUGGUGGGAAAUCGAGGCUCAACCUCGUGGAAACUAAUAAUACUGUUUUGCUUGAGUACAGGAGAGGUUAACGGAACUCCAUGUGGAGCGGUAAAAUGUGUAGAUAUAUGGAAGAACAUCAAUAACGGCGAAGGCAGUUAACUAUUCUGUUACUGACGUUGAGGCACGAAAGCGUGGGGAGCAAACAGG